UAUUUUAUGCAGGGCCAGGCUUGGACUAUUAUGAAUGUUGCUGAACACUGUUAAUCAAGCUUACACAGCUAUUUUGAUGGCAAACAAUUAGAACUCUGCAGCUCUACCUUGCAAUUAGCUUCAGGGAUAUGGACCUCAGCACCAUAAUAAUGAAAGAGACCUCCUUCAAGCAAGGCUAUUGCCAGAAUGCCUAAUAUUAAUGUGAUUGUUGGAGGCGAAGUUUCUUCAUUGCUUAAGAUGGACUCUGCCAUUUACAUCCCCCAAAGAAUCCUCAGUGUUCUGGAAAAUUGGUGUAUUAAUUUGUUUAGUCAGAUAGCAAAACCUUAUUGAACUCUUAUCCCUGGGCUUUAACUGUUGAUGUAAAGAACUUACUAUCUAAUCAGAAAUACAGACUAAUAUAGCUUUAUAAAUGCUUGAAACUUAACUCACAGAAAUAUAAAUUCACUGCUCAAAAAUGAGGAAAAAAGCAAAUUCUUCCUGAAACUAUUGAAAUUUCAAGUGGAUCUCAGAGAACAAGUACCUGAACCUGUCAUGUUCAAACCAACUAACACACAGAGAUCACCUCUGAAGCACCAGGCACAGGAGAAAGUGUUGGAAAGUAAACAAGAACAAGAAAAGAUUUCUUCAACUUGUCCAUAGACCUACAGAGAAAAAAAGAUGGUCCCCAUACUGAUAGAAACAACAAGCACAAGAAGUCUUUCCAGUGACUCAAGGAGUCAUUUAUAAGGGCGGUCCUCACACUGAAUUUUCAAGAUUUGAAGUCUAGA